CCACUGAGUGACGGGGCUUUCUCCUAAGAUAGUCACUUCCCACGUGUAUAUCGUCUGCCGGGAAGUUAAAACCCCAGGACGGUUUUUCACAACUCGCGAAUACGCUUCAUUCCACACUUUUGUCACGUUUGCCGAUCAACCAUCUGAUGUCCUGCUAUCUUCUUCGCAGAGAGGCAGUGAUGGCGCCUAACUGAGUGGAAACAGCCGCCUGCAGCCAUGGGGACCUGAGGGAAGCCACCGCAGCCGCCUACACCAGCAGCAAGGUGUGUCUACUGGUGGUGUUAGUGGCGGCGGCGAGCGCCCAGUACCCGCCGGGUCCGGCCCCCUGGGCUCCUGGCCCGGGCCCUGCCCCCGGACCCGCCCCCGGACCUUGGGGGCCCGC